UUACUUUGAGAAGUCCGUGCAACAUCUAGUUUCUCCCUCUUCUUUCUCUGUCUCUCUGUCUCCUUCUCCCUCUCCCUCCCUCUCUCCCUCCCCCCUUUCCUCCCACCUCCCUCCCUCUUUCUUCCACCCUCCUUCUCCCCCUCCCUUCGCAGAGCCUCAGGAAAAGAAGAAUGUCGGCUUCGACUGCCAUCUUUUGGGGAUUUGGAAAAACGACUCGGUAGUGCCUUCCUCAGUCUCUUGGGGCAUACUUCUUUCCGGAUCUGGCACAAACUACCCCGCAGGGCUUAAAGACAUGCUGAUGACAGAUGAUGAAGGUGGCUAAUCAUUUAGAAAACAUGUCAAAGAAGAAUAUAUGUUAAGAAAGAGAGACGGAUGGAUAAGACCAGAAGCAUCACUGAAGUCAUCGUGAGUCUCUAAUUCUUGAUCUGGUUUGCUGCUCAACCGAAAUGAAAUUUAGUUCACGAGUCAUUUUCUUUGUUGGUUUUGUGUAGAAAAUGCUUAGAAUUACCCUGAUAUCAUGAACAUUUAGGUCUGGUACUGAGAGGCACGCAAGUAUGACAGGACUAAAUUAUCAAAAUGUAUGCGCCGGGGGAAACCAAAAUAGGUUUUUGCGGUUUUCAUUAGCACAGGUCAUAUUAAUUUAAUUAACAUGAUUGAAGAUAAUAUCACUGGGUGAGGCAGCAGAUACCUAGCCUUGACCUAUUACUCACCCGUAGGCUAUAAAGUGAUGCAUCUGACAAACGGGUGUGCGAGCUCAUACAUUUAGUAUUUGGAAUCGGGCUUUUGUUAGGGGUUUCCCUACAGCUUUAGGGUAUGUUUGGAGCUUCCAUCAGAGGAAAUUCUUGGUGCUUUUCAAAACUCACCACCACAAACAGCAUUUUCAAUAUGGAGUGAAUGUUUGUGUCAUAGUUAUAAUUUGUGCAAUUGGGACCUUCAUCUAUUGUUUCCCCUGCUGUGAUCACUGUCCUUUUAUCCAGCUCUUCUUUAGGCUGGAAUCUUCUAAACUGCCUGUGGUUCUAGUCAGGGCUCCGAAUCCUGAUCGCCUUGUUCUGGCCACAGGUGUGGGCGUAGGGCCCAUGAGGGCUAAUUAAUUGCCCUUUUCAGAAUUUGUUCUGCUGGAAAUAAGAGGAUGGUCCUGUGGCAAACGAGUUGUCUACCCAAUAUCUAUUCCCCCUUUUCCUUAUAAACAAAGUCCCAUCUUUUUUUUUUGAAUGAGAUUAUUCCCAGUUGAAAAUACCCAUCUCCUCACACUGUCCUGGAACCACAGAUGUUCUUGGCCAAUGGGAUAUAAAUGAAAGUCGACUGUGUGGGGAAAAUUUCUGAAAAAUUAUUGUCCUGGUGAAAGGGGUCAUACUCAGCUGACAAGUGACUUUUGCCCUUACUCCUUUUCCUUCUGGUCAAAACACAAUGAAGUCAUAAGCCUGCUAAGAACAAUGGAGUAGGACUUGGGAGGACAUUGAAUCAUUGAGAACAUCUCAAGUGGCUGGCUGCACCAGCCUUGGUCUGCUCACCUUAUAAUUCUUGCUAUGUCAGGAAAAGAAAACCUCUUUUUAGUUAUGCUACUAUGUGUGAGUUGCUGCUACAUAUUUUAUUUUACUGAUUUAUUUUAUUUUACUUUAUUUUAUGUCAUACCUUGGAUAUGGUCCUUUCCCUACAUUAUUGCCGCUUAUGGAGAUGGUCAAUCUGAGAAAAUGAAAUCAAUUCACACAUAUACACACACACAAGAGUCAAGAGACCAAUAGGUCUAGAUCCUCAUGUUUCUUGUGUCCAGAAUUUCUCUGCAGCUGGGGCCUGUAUCAUAUGAGCCAGUGGAAUCUCGUGCUGCUGAAGUUUCUUAAAGUUUGGUUCCUGUCCCUUGCAAAUAAGAGAACUCCUGGAGAUAUGAAAAUAAAAACAAACAUACUCUCCAUGCAGCAAAUAUCCCAAACCUAUUAUAGCCUCCCUGAGCUCCUUAUUUGCUGGGAUAGGAAGGAAGAAUUUGGGUUCUUGACUUGAUGCUAUUUGUUUAGGGGCUUUGGAAUGUCACCUAAGGUUUUUCAAUCUCAGUUCCCUCAUCUUCAAUAAGGGAAAUGAACUAGAUGACCCCUAAGAUCCUUUCAGUUCCAAAUGACUAUAAUUCCAUGCGAAUUUUCCACAGUAUGGGCCAGAAGCUAAGUAUAGAAUAUACAAAUCAAUUAAAAAGAAAUAUACAUAGGAGUUCCUGCUGUGGCACAAUGGGAUCCAUGGCAUCUCCAGAGUGCUGUGGCACAGGUUGCAUCCCUGGUGGGCACAGUAGGUUAAGAAUCAGGUGUUGUCACAGCUGCAGUGUAGGUUGCAACUGCAGCUUGGAUCUGAUCCCUGGCCUAGGAACUCCAUAUGCUAUGGGCAGCCAAAAAAAAAAAAAAAAAA
rnacentral:lncRNA from 1 species